AAGUCGUAACAAGGUCUCCGUUGGUGAACCAGCGGAGGGAUCAUUACAGAGUUACAAACUCACCAAACCAUUGCGAACCCUACCUAACCGUUGCUUCGGCGGGAGGCUCCCCCGUGUCCCCUGUAAUGGGCGGCCGUGGGGCGCCCCUAGACCCCCCGCGGGUUCCCGCCGGAGGAAUCCUAAACCCUGUUAGCACAUGGCAUCUCUGAGUCUUCUACUGAAUAGGUCAAAACUUUCAACAACGGAUCUCUUGGUUCUG
rnacentral:misc_RNA from 1 species